ACUUUCCAAAACCUAAAUCCAUCUUCAAUUCAUUUGAACACUGCACUUAUUAUGUUAACAUGGCUCGUAGUUGCUUCUGCUUUCUUGUUUAGCUCAAUUUGAAAGUGCCUUGGUUUCCUCAUCUGUCUAGGCAUCAUGUUAGCUUCGGAGAGUAAAGUUCAAACAACCCCAAGAUUGAAAUGUCUUAAAUUUUGGAUAAAUGGGUUGAGG
rnacentral:lncRNA from 1 species